rnacentral:rRNA from 1 species
ACUGAAACAUCUAAGUACCCCGAGGAAAAGAAAUCAACCGAGAUUCCCCCAGUAGCGGCGAGCGAACGGGGAGCAGCCCAGAGCCUGAAUCAGUGUGUGUGUUAGUGGAAGCGUCUGGAAAGGCGCGCGAUACAGGGUGACAGCCCCGUACACAAAAAUGCACAUGCUGUGAGCUCGAUGAGUAGGGCGGGACACGUGGUAUCCUGUCUGAAUAUGGGGGGACCAUCCUCCAAGGCUAAAUACUCCUGACUGACCGAUAGUGAACCAGUACCGUGAGGGAAAGGCGAAAAGAACCCCGGCGAGGGGAGUGAAAAAGAACCUGAAACCGUGUACGUACAAGCAGUGGGAGCACGCUUAGGCGUGUGACUGCGUACCUUUUGUAUAAUGGGUCAGCGACUUAUAUUCUGUAGCAAGGUUAACCGAAUAGGGGAGCCGAAGGGAAACCGAGUCUUAACUGGGCGUUAAGUUGCAGGGUAUAGACCCGAAACCCGGUGAUCUAGCCAUGGGCAGGUUGAAGGUUGGGUAACACUAACUGGAGGACCGAACCGACUAAUGUUGAAAAAUUAGCGGAUGACUUGUGGCUGGGGGUGAAAGGCCAAUCAAACCGGGAGAUAGCUGGUUCUCCCCGAAAGCUAUUUAGGUAGCGCCUCGUGAAUUCAUCUCCGGGGGUAGAGCACUGUUUCGGCAAGGGGGUCAUCCCGACUUACCAACCCGAUGCAAACUGCGAAUACCGGAGAAUGUUAUCACGGGAGACACACGGCGGGUGCUAACGUCCGUCGUGAAGAGGGAAACAACCCAGACCGCCAGCUAAGGUCCCAAAGUCAUGGUUAAGUGGGAAACGAUGUGGGAAGGCCCAGACAGCCAGGAUGUUGGCUUAGAAGCAGCCAUCAUUUAAAGAAAGCGUAAUAGCUCACUGGUCGAGUCGGCCUGCGCGGAAGAUGUAACGGGGCUAAACCAUG